rnacentral:rRNA from 1 species
AUGCCUACUUUUUUUGAAACAUUUCCGGUUGUUUUGGUAGAUGAGGAGGGGAUUGUUAGAGCAGACGUUCCUUUUAGAAGAGCAGAAUCCAAAUAUAGUGUUGAACAAGUAGGCGUAACGGUCCAGAUCAACAUUGUCCUUAUAAUACUUCAACUCCUCCGUGGCACAGACUGA